rnacentral:tRNA from 1 species
GGUUGUAGCUCAGCGGUAGAGCACUUGCCUAGCAUGUGUGAGGCACUGGAUUCGAUCCUCAGCACCA